AGAAUUUUCUACCCAGAACAUUCUUACCACAACUGCUUGUAAAGACCGAGAUUCCUUUGUUUGAUGAGGUUAAAAGCAUAUCCAAUACAUUUCACCCAAAAAGAACCCUCCCUGGCCCCCAAAGACAGGCUUCCUAUACACAGAAUAGAGCCUUACAAGUCUUCCCAUAUUCUCAGUGCCUAUACAUACCUCCACAAAGUCCUUAUACCAUGCUAUAGCUAGCUUCUCCCCCUAAAAGACUUUGCUUCUUUGAAACUGGGCCCUACAGCCAGGUUGUGGUGGCUCACACCGUCAAUCCUAGCACUCAGGAGACAGAGGGGACCUCUACCAUACUAUCACCAGGUAGCUUAACAAUCUCCAAGGAACCAAUAUUCUGGCAAAACCAAGUGAGCUUGGAAGCAGACAGUAACGCCCUAGCCCAAAACCUGACUGCACCCUUGCAGUAUGUGAAACCUAGAGGCUGACACAAACUGUGGCACAAAGCCAUGAAUAGAUGAGUGUUGCUUUAAGCCACUAACCCUGUGGCAAUUCGUUUACCUCCUAACAAAGUACCUCUCAAAAUCCAGCAUUACCACACAGGUCAGAACCUCUUGAAGAUGGGGCAAUGUUCUGGGGUCAGAAUCAACUAACAUCUCAGCAAAGCCCA
ensembl:processed_transcript Gm12898 predicted gene 12898